rnacentral:ribozyme from 1 species
UGCCCAGCAACUCCUAUCCCUACCUCCUCGUGGUACUGGCCGGGGUACGAGUAACCUUGGGGAAGAUCGGGUAACCAAACCCCGGUGGGAACUUUGGUCGUAUGCUGACAGGGAAGA